AUGUACAGCAUGAUGAUGGAGACCGACCUGCACUCGCCCGGCGCCCAGGCGCCCACGAACCUCUCAGGCCCGGCCGGGGCGGGCGGGGGCGGCGGCGGGGGCGGGGGCGGCGGCGGCGGCGGGGGCACCAAGGCCAACCAGGAUCGGGUCAAGCGGCCCAUGAACGCCUUCAUGGUGUGGUCCCGCGGACAGCGGCGCAAGCUGGCCCAGGAAAACCCCAAGAUGCACAACUCGGAGAUCAGCAAGCGCCUGGGGCCGAGUGGAAGGUCGUGUCCGAGGCCGAGAAGCGGCCGUUCAUCGACGAGGCCAAGAGACUGCGCGCGCUGCAUGAAGGAGCACCCGGAUUACAAGUACCAGCCGCGCCGCAAGACCAAGACGCUGCUCAAGAAGACAAGUACUCGCUGGCCGGCGGGCUGCUGGCGGCCGGAGCAGGUGGUGGCGGCGCAGCGGUGGCCAUGGGCGUGGGCGUGGGCGUCGGGGCGGCGGCCGUGGGCCAGCGCCUGGAGAGCCCCGGCGGCGCGGCGGGAGGAGGCUACGCGCAUGUCAACGGCUGGGCUAACGGCGCCUACCCCGGCUCGGUGGCCGCGGCGGCUGCGGCCGCGGCCAUGAUGCAGGAGGCACAGCUGGCCUACGGGCAGCACCCAGGCGCGGGCGGCGCGCACCCGCACGCGCACCCGGCGCACCCGCACCCGCACCAUCCGCACGCGCAUCCUCACAACCCGCAGCCCAUGCACCGCUACGACAUGGGCGCGCUGCAGUACAGCCCCAUCUCCAACUCUCAGGGCUACGGGCGCGUCGCCUUCGGGCUACGGCGGCAUCCCUUACAGUGCCGCGGCAGCCGCCGCCGCCGCUGGCGGGCGGCGCGCACCAGAACUCGGCGGUGGCGGCCGCGGCGGCUGCGGCGGCCGCGUCGUCGGGUGCCCUGGGCGCCCUCGGUUCUCUGGUCAAGUCCGAGCCGAGCGGCAGUCCGCCGGCUCCGGCUCACUCGCGGGCGCCGUGCCCCGGGGACCUGCGCGAGAUGAUCAGCAUGUACCUGCCGGCCGGCGAGGGUGGCGACCCGGCGGCGGCUGCGGCUGCCGCGGCCCAAAGCCGGCUGCACUCGCUGCCACAGCACUACCAGGGCGCGGGCGCGGGCGUCAACGGUACGGUGCCCCUGACGCACAUCUAGCGCCGCGGGGACGCCGGGGACACUGCGGCUCAAGGCCGGCGCCCCGGCGACGAAGAGCGUGAGGCCUGUUCCCCAGCCUCCAGAGCCCCAGUUUGUACAGAUGUCUCCGCGCUCUAGUGAAAAAGACCGCUCUGGAGAGCCGAGCGCCAGGUGACAUCUGCCCCCCUCACCUUUCCCGGGACUCUGAGGCGCUGACACCAGACUGGCCUCUUAGACUGAACUUCCGUGUUUUCACGAGACCUUUUGUACAGUAUUUAUCGUCCGCAGAGGAGGCACACAGCGUUUUCUCGGCUCGGGAGGACAAAAGACAAAAACCUAGCGAGGCGAUGCCAACUUUUGUAUGACUGCCGGCUCUGUAACUUUUUCCGGGGUUUGCUUCCCGCCGGCUCUUCUGCCUGAGGCCGAGGGACGGACCUCGAGCCCUUCUCACUUGUUAUAAAUCUAGUAAGGCAGAUCCAACCAUUUACGAGUUUUUUGUAGCUGUUAAGGCUCUUUUGGGUUGGUUGGUUAAUUUAUACCGCAAUGCCCUCUCAGACGGUGGAGUUAUAUUCUGGGUUUUGUAAAACUCUGUAUCCGA